GCCGAAGUGGUGGAACUGGUAGACACGCUGGUCUUAGGAACCAGUGCCUAUGGCGUAAGGGUUCGAGUCCCUUCUUCGGCA
rnacentral:tRNA from 1 species